rnacentral:lncRNA from 1 species
CCCCAUAGAGCCCAUUGUUGCCCUAUAGAACCUAUUGUUACCCCAUAGAGCCCAUUAUCACCCCAUAGAGCCCAUUAUCACCCCAUAGAACCUAUUAUCACCCCAUUGAACCCAUUGUCACCCCAUGGAGGCCAUUGUCGCCCCAUAGACCCCAUGGCCACCCCACAGACCCCACAGUCAUCCCCCCCCCCUGUCGUCCCCCCUUUUGUCCCCACCCCUUUGUCCCCACCCCCACCCCAUAAAGGCACCGCAGCCCGCAGUGCCACCACCGCUGCGGGACCGUGAGUCCUCCUGACCCCAUUCCUGACCCCAUUCCUGACCCCAUAUCUGUCCCCAACUUUGUCCCCAUCCCUGACCCCACAUUUGCCCCUUUGACCCCAAAUUUCUCCCUCUUUCCCCACCCCUCACCCCAAAUUUGCCCCUUUGGCCCCAAUUUUGCCCCUCCAUCCCCAUCUCUGACCCCAUAUUAUCCCCCCGUCCCCACUCCUGACCCCAAAUUUCCCCCUCUGCCCCCAUAUUAUCCCCCCAUCCCCACCUCUGACCCCAAAUUUGUCCCUCUGUCCCCAUUUUGUCCCCACCCUGACUCCAAAUUUGUCCCUUUGACCCCAUAUUUCCCCCUCUGACCCCAUAUUGUCCCUCCAUCCCCAUCCCUGACCCCAUAUUGUCCCUCAUCCCCAUCCCCUGACCCCAAAUUUGUCCCUUUGACCCCAAAUCUCCCCCUCUGCCCCCAUAUUAUCCCUCCAUCCCCACCCCUGACCCCAAAUCUCCCCCUCUGCCCCCAUAUUAUCCCUCCAUCCCCACCUCUGACCCCAAAUUUGUCCCUUUGACCCCAAAUUUCCCCCUCUGACUCCAUUUUGCCCCUCCAUCCCCAUCCC